rnacentral:rRNA from 1 species
CACGUAGGGCGCGAGCGUUGUCCGGAAUUAUUGGGCGUAAAGAGCUCGUAGGCGGCCUGUUGCGUCCGCUGUGAAAGCCCGGGGCUUAACCCCGGGUCGGCAGUGGAUACGGGCAGGCUAGAGGUAGGUAGGGGAGAGUGGAAUUCCUGGUGUAGCGGUGGAAUGCGCAGAUAUCAGGAGGAACACCAAUGGCGAAGGCAGCUCUCUGGUACGUGACUGACGCUGAGACGCGAAAGCGUGGGUAGCAAACAGG